rnacentral:rRNA from 1 species
GACGAACGCUGGCGGCGUGCUUAACACAUGCAAGUCGAACGGAAAGGCCCUGCUUUUGUGGGGUGCUCGAGUGGCGAACGGGUGAGUAACACGUGAGUAACCUGCCCUUGACUUUGGGAUAACUUCAGGAAACUGGGGCUAAUACCGGAUAGGAGCUCCUGCUGCAUGGUGGGGGUUGGAAAGUUUCGGCGGUUGGGGAUGGACUCGCGGCUUAUCAGCUUGUUGGUGGGGUAGUGGCUUACCAAGGCUUUGACGGGUAGCCGGCCUGAGAGGGUGACCGGCCACAUUGGGACUGAGAUACGGCCCAGACUCCUACGGGAGGCAGCAGUGGGGAAUAUUGCACAAUGGGCGGAAGCCCGAUGCAGCAACGCCGCGUGCGGGAUGACGGCCUUCGGGUUGUAAACCGCUUUCGCCCGUGACGAAGCGUGAGUGACGGUAAUGGGUAAAGAAGCACCGGCUAACUACGUG